rfam:Bacteroidales bacterium CF, complete genome.
GUUGUGAUUUGCUUUCAAAAUUUUAUCUUUGACAUAUCAGAAACAGC